UUUUCCGAAGUCCAAAUUGGGUACUAUUCCCUUCUAGAAGCGAUACCACCGAUGCGCGGUUUCGUAGCGGCGGGGGCUAGAGGGGGAGAAGGAGGCGGCGGCGCGCCACGGGAGGGGAGAGGCGCCGUCGGCCGAGGUGCCGCGCCAAGGACAACAGGCGUCGCCGUGGUGGGAAGCGCCCAGGCGGUAACGCGAGCAGCCAAUCCGCAACAAAACAAGGAUAGCUGUGAAAGGAAGCCAGGAAGGGAUCAGGACCACGCAGAGCAAUGAAGGAUCAGUGGACAAUCGAGCAGAAUACAUCAGGGAUACUGGCCAUUGUAACGAAGGAGAUGGUUGAGAAACUGGAAAUGGAAAAACUAUCUUAGUGUCAUAUAAUCUACCUUGGUAGAAUUUCACAUGGACUUGUUUUUCUACUUGUUCAACUAUGUGUUUGGAUAGUUAUUGCUUCCAUGAAAUUUGAGAUAUGUAGAGGAACUGAGCCUAUCUAGUUGGUGGGAGGCAUGGUUGUACAUCCCAUCUUUUUUCUUUUUUUUUUUGAAACAAAAGGUUGCACAUCCCAUCACCCAGGUUUGAGUAAUCUUUACUCAAAUUUGGAUGCCUAUUUUUAUAUUAAUACAAAAUUUCCGAGUUAGUCU